rnacentral:rRNA from 1 species
UACAGAGACUGCAAGCGUUGUUCGGAUUCAUUGGGCGUAAAGGGUCCGCAGGUGGUCCAGCAAGUCGGAUGUGAAAUCCCAUGGCCUAACCAUGGAAAGUCAUUCGAAACUGCUGGGCUAGAGGACUGGAGAGGAGACUGGAAUAGUUGGUGUAGCAGUGAAAUGCGUAGAUAUCAACUAGAACACCAGUAGCGAAGGCGAGUCUCUGGACAGUUCCUGACACUCAUGGACGAAAGCCAGGGGAG